rnacentral:rRNA from 1 species
GGCCCUACGGGGGGCAGCAGUGGGGAAUAUUGGACAAUGGGCGCAAGCCUGAUCCAGCCAUGCCGCGUGAGUGAUGAAGGCCCUAGGGUUGUAAAGCUCUUUCACCGAUGAAGAUAAUGACGGUAGUCGGAGAAGAAGCCCCGGCUAACUUCGUGCCAGCAGCCGCGGUAAUACGAAGGGGGCUAGCGUUGUUCGGAAUUACUGGGCGUAAAGCGCACGUAGGCGGAUAUUUAAGUCAGGGGUGAAAUCCCGCAGCUCAACUGCGGAACUGCCUUUGAUACUGGGUAUCUUGAGUAUGGAAGAGGUGAGUGGAAUUCCGAGUGUAGAGGUGAAAUUCGUAGAUAUUCGGAGGAACACCAGUGGCGAAGGCGGCUCACUGGUCCAUUACUGACGCUGAGGUGCGAAAGCGUGGGGAGCAAACAGGAUUAGAUACCCCAGUAGUCC